rnacentral:rRNA from 1 species
UGAGCAACCUGCCCUUGACUCUGGAAUAACAGUUGGAAACAGCUGCUAAUACUGGAUAUUCAUUGUCCUCCUCCUGGGGGGUGGUGGAAAGCUCCGGCGGUCAGGGAUGGGCUCGCGGCCUAUCAGCUUGUUGGUGAGGUAAUGGCUCACCAAGGCUUCGACGGGUAGCCCGGCCUGAGAGGGCGACCGGCCACACUGGGACUGAGAUACCGGCCCAGACUCCUACGGGAGCAG